rnacentral:rRNA from 1 species
GAAUUUUCCGCGAUGGGCGAAAGCCUGACGGAGCAACGCCGCGUGAGGGACGAAGGCCUUCGGGUCGUAAACCCCUGUCAGAGGGAAAGAAGGGCGUCGGUGUGAACAGCACCGGCGCCUGACGGUACUCUCAAAGGAAGCCACGGCCAACUCCGUGCCAGCAGCCGCGGUAAUACGGAGGUGGCAAGCGUUGUUCGGAAUUACUGGGCGUAAAGGGCGCGUAGGCGGGGAGGUAAGUCGGGUGUGAAAUCCCUCGGCCCAACCGAGGAACUGCGCCCGAGACUGCUUCUCUUGAGUCCCGGAGAGGAAGGUGGAAUUCCCGGUGUAGCGGUGAAAUGUGUAGAGAUCGGGAGGAACACCGGUGGCGAAGGCGGCCUUCUGGACGGUGACUGACGCUGAGGCGCGAAAGCGUGGGGAGCAAACGGG